rnacentral:rRNA from 1 species
AGAUGAUUCGGGUAACGGGGAAUCAGGGUUCGAUUCCGGAGAGGGAGCCUGAGAAACGGCUACCACAUCCAAGGAAGGCAGCAGGCGCGCAAAUUACCCAAUCCAGACACUGGGAGGUGGUGACGAGAAAUACCAGGUCGUUCCCACAAGGAUUCGACACUGGAAUGAAUGUAAUUUAAAAAUUUUAUUGAGUAGCAACUGGAGGGCAAGUCUGGUGCCAGCAGCCGCGGUAAUUCCAGCUCCAGUAGUGUAUCCCAAAGUUGCUGCGGUUAAAACGCUCGUAGUUGGACAAGANNGAGUAACUCGGUGCAGGCGGGGAGUGUUAAUACAAUUCGCUUAAAAUAAUCUUCGGAUUGUUUUAUUGAGUUUUGUACCACUUGUCGACUUUGCAGCUGGGUUGCUUAGAUUAUUUUGUGAGAGCAUUCUAUGGCCUUAAUUGUGCUGUAUUAUGUGUCUUGCAUAGCGUGCCUUGAAUAAAUCAGAGUGCUCAAAGCAAGCUUGCGCUUGAAUGUUAAUAGCAUGGAACGAAUGUUUUGUGAAUGCAAUGCUUAAAGUUUUCGAACUGAGAGUGUUGUAGCACCAACCACGAAGCAGAGCAUUGGUUGCUGUCUUCGGGUGAUGAUUAAGAGGGGCAUUUGGGGGCAUUAGUAUUUGGACGCGAGAGGUGAAAUUCUUAGACCGUCCAAGGACUAACAAGUGCGAAAGCAUUUGCCAAGUUUGUUCCCUUUAAUCAAGAACGAAAGUGAGAGGAUCGAAGACGAUCAGAUACCGUCGUAGUUCUCACCGUAAACGAUGCCAACCCGGGAUCAGCUCGGAUUAUUAUAUAAGGAUCCAGGUUGGUCCCCCUGGGAAACCUUGAGUUUUUAGGUUCCGGGGGGAGUAUGGUUGCAAGGCUGAAACUUAAAGGAAUUGACGGAAGGGCACCACCAGGAGUGGAGCCUGCGGCUUAAUUUGACUCAACACGGGAAAACUCACCUGGUCCGGACAUCGAUAGGAUUGACAGACUAAUAGAUCUUUCAUGAUACGGUGGGUGGUGGUGCAUGGCCGUUCUUAGUUCGUGGAGUGAUCUGUCAGGUUGAUUCCGGUAACGAACGAGACCACGGUCUCCAUUUAGGUGUUCGUAAGUCAGGCAAUAAUAGUUGUAUUCAACUUGUUUGAAUAAACCUAUUUUUGUAUGAUUUACGUUGUAUGCAUAGUAAUGUGCAU